GACGAACGCUGGCGGCGUGCUUAACACAUGCAAGUCGAACGGAAAGGCCCUGCUUUUGUGGGGUGCUCGAGUGGCGAACGGGUGAGUAACCCGUGAGUAACCUGCCCUUGACUUUGGGAUAACUUCAGACAACUGGGGCUAAUACCGGGUAGGAGCUCCUGCUGCUUGGUGGGGGUUGGACAGUUUCGGCGGUUGGGGAUGGACUCGCGGCUUAUCAGCUUGUUGGGGGGGUAGUGGCUUACCAAGGCUUUGCAGGGUAGCCGGGCUGAGAGGGUGAGCGGCCACAUUACGACUGAGAUACGGCACAGACUCCUACGGGAGGCAGCAGUGGAGAAUAUUGCACAGUGGGCGGAAGCCUGAUGCAGCAACGCCGCGUGCGGGAUGACGGCCUUCGGGUUGUAAACCGCUUUCGUCUGUGACGAAGCGUGAGUGACGGUAAUGGGUAAAGAAGCACCGGCUAACUACGUG
rnacentral:rRNA from 1 species